rnacentral:antisense_RNA from 1 species
CACCCCAUCUGGAUUGUUUUCUGUUACCACCUGGAAAAGAAAGUGUAAAAGAUGAGGAGAAGAAGGUGGAAGGAUGCUAGACAGAGAAGGGACUUCUGCUUUUCUAAUCUGUUACCUUCUACAGAGGACACAGGAACCUCACCAGGGCACAGCCCACUGCACGCAGCAGCAGGAGGGGGAGGAGAUUCUGAGCGGACUCCUUGCCAGGGCAUUUGCUCCUCAAGGGUUAAAGGAUGCCGGAAUAGGCUGGCGGAUCUAUUGUGGCCCCUGAGGAGCGUGAUAGCCCGUCAUCGCACAAGCUUCAACCACACUAAAUUGAUUCUGUGUUGCUUUUCCCACCGCUGGGCCAAUCUCAGCUAUGAUUCGUGGACCUGUUCUUUUGCAGCUCAAAGACAUGACCCCUUGGGCUUCCUGGCAGAAGGUGGACUCAUUUCCCACCUGCCCACUGUUCCCUGACCCCUCCCCAAGCUGGGCUUUUCCCCAUCGUUUCCUUUGGAACAAAAUCUUCUCUUCAUAUAAGA